UAACUUCUAGUUUGAUCAGGG
rnacentral:siRNA from 1 species